UGCAGUCGAGGGGCAGCACGGACUUCGGUCUGGUGGCGACCGGCGCACGGGUGCGUAACGCGUAUGCAACCUACCUUAUACAGGGGGAUAGCCCAGAGAAAUUUGGAUUAAUACCCCAUAGUACUAUAAAGCUGCAUAGUUUAAUAGUUAAAACUUCGGUGGUAUAAGAUGGGCAUGCGUAUGAUUAGGUAGUUGGUGAGUUAACAGCUCACCAAGCCGACGAUCAUUAGGGGUUCUGAGAGGAUUAUCCCCCACACUGGUACUGAGACACGGACCAGACUCCUACGGGAGGCAGCAGUGAGGAAUAUUGGUCAAUGGACGAGAGUCUGAACCAGCCAUCCCGCGUGCAGGAUGACGGCCCUAUGGGUUGUAAACUGCUUUUCUACGCCAAGAAACCCCCCGACGUGUCGGGGUUUGACGGUAGCGUAGGAAUAAGCAUCGGCUAACUCCGUGCCAGCAGCCGCGGUAAUACGGAGGAUGCAAGCGUUAUCCGGAUUCAUUGGGUUUAAAGGGUGCGCAGGCGGGCUUGUAAGUCAGUGGUGAAAUACUGCCGCUUAACGGUAGAACUGCCAUUGAUACUGCAAGUCUUGAAUAUGGUUGAGGUAGGCGGAAUGUGUCGUGUAGCGGUGAAAUGCAUAGAUAUGACACAGAACGCCGAUAGCGAAAGCAUUGUACUGGCCAAUAACUGACGCUGAUGCACGAAAGCAUGGGUAGCGAACAUGCAGUCGAGUGCAGUCGAGUGCAGUCGAGAACGAUGA
rnacentral:rRNA from 1 species